rnacentral:rRNA from 1 species
AACGAACGCUGGCGGCAUGCCUAACACAUGCAAGUCGAACGGGAUCCUAGCUUGCUAGGUGAGAGUGGCGGACGGGUGAGUAACACGUGGGAAUCUGCCUUUUGGUUCGGGAUAACCGCGGGAAACUGCGGCUAAUACCGAAUGCCCUCGAGAGAGGAAAGAUUUAUCGCCGGAAGAGGAGCCCGCGUCCGAUUAGGUAGUUGGUGGGGUAAAGGCCUACCAAGCCGACGAUCGGUAGCUGGUCUGAGAGGAUGAUCAGCCACACUGGGACUGAGAUACGGCCCAGACUCCUACGGGAGGCAGCAGUGGGGAAUAUUGGACAAUGGGGCAACCCUGAUCCAGCCAUGCCGCGUGAGUGAUGAAGGCCUUCGGUUGUAAACUCUUAGUCCGAUGAAUAUAAUAGACUGUAGUCGGAAA